AACGAACGCUGGCGGCAGGCCUAACACAUGCAAGUCGAACGCCCCGCAAGGGAGGUGGCAGACGGGUGGAGUAACGCGUGGGAACCUUCCCUGUGGUACGGAAUAACUGACCGAAAGGUUAGCUAAUACCGUAUACGUCCGAGAGGAGAAAGAUUUAUCGCCACAGGAUGGGCCCGCGUCGGAUUAGCUAGUUGGUGAGGUAAUGGCUCACCAAGGCGACGAUCCGUAGCUGGUCUGAGAGGAUGAUCAGCCACACUGGGACUGAGACACGGCCCAGACUCCUACGGGAGGCAGCAGUGGGGAAUAUUGGACAAUGGGCGCAAGCCUGAUCCAGCCAUGCCGCGUGAGUGAUGAAGGUCUUCGGUAGUUGUAAAACUACUUUCGUCCGGGGAAGGAUAAUAGACGGUACCCGGAGAAGAAGCUCCGGCUAACUUCGUGCC
rnacentral:rRNA from 1 species